rnacentral:rRNA from 1 species
AAGCCUACGGGAGGCAGCAGUGGGGAAUAUUGCGCAAUGGGCGAAAGCCUGACGCAGCGACGCCGCGUGAGGGAUGAAGGUCUUCGGAUCGUAAACCUCUGUCAGCAGGGAAGAACGGUCACUGUGCUAAUCAGCAGUGAAUUGACGGUACCUGCAAAGGAAGCACCGGCUAACUCCGUGCCAGCAGCCGCGGUAAUACGGAGGUUGCGAGCGUUAAUCGGAAUUACUGGGCGUAAAGCGCUCGUAGGCGGUAUGUCAAGUCAAGGUCGAACUCCCCUCUC